CCUACGGGUGGCUGCAGUGGGGAAUAUUGCGCAAUGGGCGCAAGCCUGACGCAGCAACGCCGCGUGAAGGAAGAAGGCUUUCGGAUUGUAAACCUCUUUUAAGAGGGAAGAGCAGAAGACGGUACAUCUUGAAUAAGCUUCGGCGAACUACGUGCCAGCAGCCGGGGUAAUACGUAGGUGGCAGGCGUGGUCCGGAUUUACUGGGGGUAAAGAGCGUGCAGCCGGGACGACAAGUCAGUCGUGAAAUCCCCCGGCUCAACGGGGGAACUGCAUUUGAAACUGUUUUGCUUGAGUACCGGAGAGGUCAGCGGAAUUCCAUGUGUAGCGGUGAAAUGCGUAGAUAUAAGGAAGAACACCAGUGGCGAAGGCGAAUGACUGGACGGCAACUGACGGUGAGGCGCGAAAGCGUGGGGAGCAAACAGGAUUAGAUACCCCAGUAGUC
rnacentral:rRNA from 1 species